rnacentral:rRNA from 1 species
GGGGAGUAUGGUCGCAAGGCUGAAACUUAAAGGAAUUGACGGAAGGGCACCACCAGGCGUGGAGCUUGCGGCUCAAUUUGACUCAACACGGGGAAACUCACCA